GCCAGGCAUGGUGGUGCAUGCCUGUAGUCCCAGCUACUUGGGAGGCUGAGGCAGGAGGAUCACCUGAGCCCAGGAAGUCAAGGUUGCAGUGAGCUAUGAUCAUGCCACUGCACUCCAGCCUGAGCAACAGCAUGCUAUCCUGUCUCAA
rnacentral:SRP_RNA from 1 species